CCUACGGGAGGCAGCAGUGGGGGAUAUUGCACAAUGGGGGGAACCCUGAUGCAGCGAAGCCGCGUGUGGGAAGACGGCCCUCUGGAUUGUAAACCACUGUCCCCAGGGACGAAAAUGACGGUACCUGGGGAGGAAGCUCAGGCUAACUACGUGCCAGCAGCCGCGGUAAUACGUAGGGGGCAAGCGUUAUCCGGAAUUACGGGGUGUAAAGGGUGAGUAGGGGGGAUGGUAAGCCAGAUGUGAAAUCCUUGGGCUUAACCCGAGGAUUGCAUUUGGAACUAUCAAGCUAGAGUACAGGAGAGGAAAGCGGAAUUCCUAGUGUAGCGGUGAAAUGCGUAGAUAUUAGGAAGAACACCAGUGGCGAAGGCGGCUUUCUGGACUGAAACUGACGCUGAGGCACGAAAGCGUGGGGAGCGAACAGGAUUAGAUACCCUUGUAGUC
rnacentral:rRNA from 1 species